AGAGAAUGCGAUGAUGAUGGACUUUAACUCUGAAAAAUCAAACGUCGUCGGUGAUAGUGCAUCUUUUACAAACAAUUUUGCUCGGAUUUUCUUGUCACUAAGCUCUUGUACAUCAUAGUUCAAAGAUAAGGCCAAUAAGCGGCUAUUGAAGAAAAUGUAUGAUCCCCUUACAACAAAAGGCUCACAAGAUUGUAUCCUGUUUCUCUUGCUGAAGGCUUUGAUUCUCCGAG